rnacentral:misc_RNA from 1 species
GAUGAAGAACGUAGCGAAAUGCGAUAAGUAGUGUGAAUUGCAGAAUUCAGUGAAUCAUCGAAUCUUUGAACGCACAUUGCGCCCUUUGGUAUUCCAAAGGGCAUGCCUGUUCGAGCGUCAUUUGUACCCUCAAGCUUUGCUUGGUGUUGGGCGUCUUGUCUCUAGCUUUGCUGGAGACUCGCCUUAAAGUAAUUGGCAGCCGGCCUACUGGUUUCGGAGCGCAGCACAAGUCGCACUCUCUAUCAGCAAAGGUCUAGCAUCCAUUAAGCCUUUUUUUCAACUUUUGACUUCGGAUCAGGUAGGGAUACCCGCUGAACUUAAGCAUAUCAAUAAGCGGAGGA